GAGAGCACGGCCCCCCACAAUGGGACUGAAACACGGCCCAUACUCCUACGGGAGGCAGCAGCAGGGAAUAUUGCACAAUAGGCGAAAGCCUGAUGCAGCGACGCCGCGUGAGCGAAGAAGGCCUUCGGGUCGUAAAGCUCUUUUGUAGGGGAAGAGGAAGGACGGUACCCUAAGAAGAAGCGUCGGCUAACUACGUGCCAGCAGCCGCGGUAAGACGUAGGACGCGAGCGUUAUCCGGAAUUACUGGGCGUAAAGGGCCAGCAGGCGGCUUGGUAAGUUGUGCGUGAAAGCCUCGUGCUCAACGCGAGGAAGCCGGACAAUACUGUCAAGCUAGAGGGCAUCAGAGGGGAGUGGAAUUCCCGGAGUAGCGGUAAAAUGCGCAGAUAUCGGGAGGAACACCGAUGGCGAAGGCAGCUCCCUGGGAUGCACCUGACGCUAAGAGGCGAAAGCUAGGGGAGCGAACAGGAUUAGAGACCCUGGUAGUCCUAGCUGUAAACGCUGGGUGCUAGGUGUGGGACGUAGAAGUUCCGUGCCGGAGCAAACGCGAUAAGCACCCCGCCUGGGAAUUACGGUCGCAAGGCUAAAACUCAAACGAAUUGACGGGGCCCCGCACAAGCAGCGGAGCGUGUGGUUCAAUUCGAUGCUACACGAAGAACCUUACCUGGGUUUGACAUGUACGUGGUACGAAGGCGAAAGCCUAAGGACCCUUCGGGGAGCGUACACAGGUGCUGCAUGGCUGUCGUCAGCUCGUGCCGUGAGGUGUCGGGUUAAGUCCCGUAACGAGCGCAACCCUUGCCCUUAGUUACAAGUGUCUAAGGGGACUGCCGGCGGGAAGCCGGAGGAAGGUGGGGAUGACGUCAAGUCAGCAUGGCCCUUAUGUCCAGGGCUACACACACGCUACAAUGGUCAGUACAAAGGGUAGCGAAGUCGC
rnacentral:rRNA from 1 species